GACGAACGCUGGCGGCGCGCUUAACACAUGCAAGUCGAACGGUGACGCUGGAGCUUGCUCCAGCUGAUCAGUGGCGAACGGGUGAGUAACACGUGAGCAACCUGCCCUUGACUCUGGGAUAACCCCGGGAAACCGGAGCUAAUACCGGAUACGAACCGCACAGGCAUCUGCGCGGUUGGAAAGUUUUUCGGUCAAGGAUGGGCUCGCGGCCUAUCAGCUUGUUGGUGGGGUAACGGCCCACCAAGGCGACGACGGGUAGCCGGCCUGAGAGGGCGACCGGCCACACUGGGACUGAGACACGGCCCAGACUCCUACGGGGGGCAGCAGUGGGGAAUAUUGCACAAUGGGCGAAAGCCUGAUGCAGCGACGCCGCGUGAGGGAUGAAGGCCUUCGGGUUGUAAACCUCUUUCAGCAGGGAAGAAGCGAAAGUGACGGUACCUGCAGAAGAAGCACCGGCUAACUACGUGCCAGCCGCCGCAGUAAAAC
rnacentral:rRNA from 1 species